rnacentral:rRNA from 1 species
GUGCCAGCAGCCGCGGUAAUACGUAGGGAGCGAGCGUUGUCCGGAUUUACUGGGUGUAAAGGGUGCGUAGGCGGCUUUGCAAGUCAGGUGUGAAAACUAUGGGCUUAACUCAUAGAUUGCACUUGAAACUGUGGAGCUUGAGUGGAGUAGAGGCAGGCGGAAUUUCCGGUGUAGCGGUGAAAUGCGUAGAGAACGGGAGGAACACCAGUGGCGAAGGCGGCCUGCUGGGCUUUAACUGACGCUGAAGCACGAAAGCAUGGGUAGCAAACAGGAUUAGAUACCCUGGUAGUCCAUGCCGUAAACGAUGAUUACUAGGUGUGGGGGGUCUGACCCCUUCCGUGCCGGAGUUAACACAAUAAGUAAUCCACCUGGGGAGUACGACCGCAAGGUUGAAACUCAAAGGAAUUGACGG